CACACCAAGCUGUAGACAAGGCAUUCUGAUGCCAUUGUGAAAGAAGCUGCUCGAGGUCCAUGUGUGUGCUGGUGCGAGGUGCCUGAGGUACAGCUCAGGUACAGCUGUGCUGUUUGUCGUGUUAGUUAAUCAGGAAGUCUCAUUGUAGGAGGUUUAAGUGCUUAUGGUAGAGUUGAAUAAGUGCUCGGAUUUUGUUUCUUUUCCUUGAGAUUUGUGUUAGGGAAAAUACUCUUUGUUUUCCCAAGUGGAAAGGAAUUGAUAGAGGAAUGUUGUGUACAGGCAAACCCCGGCCUGGGAGCUGCCCACAUCUCUCCUGUGCCCCUUUAGCCUCACUACCAAUGCAAGGAUUUUGCUCCAGAGCCUCCUUAGAGCCCAGCAGAGGUUUCUCCUUUGCAAAUCAGGGGAUUAAGAACCGUAGAAGUGAAUACUGGGGAUGGAGUUGGCUCUUGCUUGGUCGGAGGUGGUGUUGGAAGUGAGGUACCUGCGGGGUUUGCUCUUAGCCCUUGUGAGCCCUUGCUCAGGGAGCAAAUCCCAUGCUAGGGAGGGGAAGAGCUGUGGGUUUCUAGCACUGCUGGGUCUUGGGUCUCCACCAUCACCAUCUAAUAAUUUCCCUUUGUAUAAACUGUCCUUGGCUCACUUGCAAA